ACUCGCGCCCGGCCGCCUCGCCGCCUCGUCGCACCGCGCCGCGUCGGCAACGCUACACAGUACACUGCUAUACCGCCGCUACACACUGACACACGGCGGCGCGUUUACACCGCACACAGCCGCGCGCCGCGUACGGAUCCACCGCGCCGACAUUUUAAAGUUUCAUGCCGAAUUUGACUUUAAAAUCUCAUCGAAACCGACGGAGACGCGGCCCAGCCGGACAGGCUGAAUAUUUACCUGAAUAACAGUGGUGCGUUGUCUCAUUCGACGCAUUAGAUGCGCAGUGAAUGGACAACGCGUGUGGAAAUACGAAGGAGAGCGCAUGCGCCACGCACACUCCUCCACGGCGCCUCUGUAUUCACUGAAAAUGGGUUUGCGAUGACUUCAAUGUAUGAAAGUGGGUGGCGUUUAUGUGAAUGAAGAAGUCGCGCCAAUUGAUGAACAGGGCGCAAGCGAUAAAUUAAAAGCGCAUCUCUCGCAACGAGGCAUAAGUAAGGUCAUUGGAAUGCUUAGCUGCGAUGCUACAAAUUGCGCAAAUAGAUGUUCCAAUGAACUCGUUUAAUAAUAGCGGGCGUAGUGAGGGCGUCACUGAAGAGAAAUACUAGUAGAGAAUUCACUCGGCGACUGCCGACUACUCGCUACACAGUGAGACUGGCUCAAGGUUGCCACUACAUGCAUUAGUAGUCCGCACUGCCAUCGGAAAAUCUGAGGUUAAAUCUGUGAAGAUUUCCAUUAAACACGAACAUAUAGACCGACUCUUAAAUUUGUAUUCAUUACAAAACGUGUGCAUAACCAGGUGUAAAUGUUAUUACGAGAGUGUAUACAAUGAGUACAAACCUAUAAUAUUUUUAGUAUUAUCACGAACAAAACGAAAAGUUAAUAUUAAUUCUUGCGUCCUUUCCGUUAUACUAAAAUGUUAUUUUUAUUGCGGUCAUGAUAAACGUAUUUUGGCUUUGAAAAAUAACUGAAGACGUAUGUUCCGCAAUUUUAAACUUCCUCGGCAUCUUAUAAAAACUAAAUAGUACAAACACCUCGGCGUAUAAUUUAAGCGUCGGCAAUAAAUUUUGCAUAUUGUUCUCUAUUUCCUGAUUUUAAAAAACGCAUUGUGAAAAUGUUUUCAAUGUCACACCAAUUAUACACGACAUUGGAGAUGAAAAAUUCGCAGUGAAUUUGCGAGCUUCUACGCUAGGAACAGACGAACAACUUGCUGGCAUUAUUUAUCGCAAAUUUGAUCGACAUAAUAAAGUAUGUAGGUAUCUCUUUUUUUAAGUAAAUAAAUGACAAAGAAAUAUAGCUAUUUAAAAGAAGAAUUAUAGGUUUUGUUUCCUUGAUUUGACAGAAUAAAUACGUAUUUGAAUGUUGUUUUCGAAUAUUUUACUUGAAUGAAUAAUCAAUUUGUAUAAAUGUUUUGGUGCCAUCACCAAACUGCUUCAUAGCAGCAUUUUGUUCAUGAAUUCAGACAAUACCUGUUAGGAUAUGAAUAAAAACAAAGGUGUCGCAACUAAGAUUGACGUAUAAGGGUGGUAUUAUUAUACUUUAUUGAUCACCAUACAAGGUUUUUAACCUGUAAUAAAUAGUCUUAUAUUUGUAGAGUCAUGCUCUUCUUUACACAAUAUUAUACACAUAUAAACAUCUUCUCCUUCAACGUAUAUAUUCACCCAAUGUUGAGUGUCGGCUUUUUUAAUGCAUCCCAGGUUGUUCUGUUCAGGGUAGUCCUCAUCCUGCUUGGUCCCACCGCGUGGACCAGGUUUUCGGUCCACAUCAUUGAAGGCCUGCCCCGAUUUCUAUGACCAGUUCUUGGUCUCCAUAUCAACUUUAUAAAAACAGACGUUUUUUUGUAUUCUAGAUAAUAAAUUCAUCAUUAUCAGCCGCAGAAUGUCCACUGCUGAACAUGGGCCGCCCCUAAAGAUUUCUAGAUAGACCUAUUGAAAGCAGCCCGUAUCCAGCGACAUAAUAAAAGAUAAUAAAUUUGGAACAAAUUAUUAAACAGCUAACUAGUUAGGUGUACAUAUGACCACUAAAUCGUUUAUGAAAUAUGAAAACUCUAUGUUUAAUGAAGUAGAAACAGAUUUAAAACUUCUUAAGGAAAAUUGGUCAAAAUUCAUUUUUAAGGGUAUGAGUUUCUUUUGAAAUGUAUUUAAACUUUAAUUUUGUAUUGAUUGUAUGUACAUCAACGCUACUACUUUUAUAUUUCUAUGCCCCCUAGUAUUGCAGAUUUUCGUGGGCGACGGUGAUCACUCAGCGUAUGCUCGUUUGUCCCCUAUAAGAUAAAAAAACGUGUCGAUAAGCAUUAAAUUGUUUUUAGCUGUUGGCUAAAUAACCCCAGCCAUAUUAAAUUUGUUCGAGCCAAAAUUAUUUAGUUUUUGUUGCGGCGCUGACAGGUCCUCUUACUUCCUGAUACAACAAAAGAUUUUUGCUUUAUUA